GGGUGAAAGAGGCAGAGGGGGAAGAGAGACACAAAGAGGGAGAAAUGAGAGAGACACACAAGUGGAGGGGAAGAAAGAGGCAGAGGGGGAAGAGAGAGACUGGGAAGGAGAGAGGAGACAUUGACACAGAGGAGCAGAGGAGGAGAAAGAGAGGACCCGGGGCAAUGCUCCGGCUCUCACGAGGUGAACUCUAGCCCUGGAGCUACGGGCUAGAGUUCACUUUCACCACUUCCUGGUGGUCGCAGUAGUAGGGUUGAACUCUAGCCCCAUACACACACUGCCAACACACACACCAUACACAUUCACACACUGCCCC